rfam:Bombyx mori DNA, contig: Bm_scaf29_contig18376, strain: p50T/Dazao, build 2, whole genome shotgun sequence.
UUAACUCAAAUUUGUAUGGAGUUGGAACAGCUUCUGUUCGUUUGCCGCUAGGGGCGCUGUUCCAACUUCAUACAAAUUUAAGUUA